CCGCACCAGCCAGCAGCCACCCAGCGCCGCAGACGCCCGGUUUUCGGCAGGGUCCUGCCCGCCGGUGCUGCGGGGAACCCGGGGAAGGUUCUGGGGAAAGGGCAGCAGGACCUCGUCCUGUAUCCCCGCGGGGAUGUGCCCGGCCUGCGCUCAAAACCCUCCGUCGGCUGCUUUGUGUCACCAAAGCCAUGAUCACCUCGGUUUCGGCCCAUCCUUAUCUUCACACCUCAUGGGACCGUGAGGGUUAUGGGGUGUGGGGGCCAGAAUGAAGCUGGAAAGGAGCAGCCCAGUCCCAUGGGAUGCCGCGUCUCAUAGGGACGGUCUGAGCCCCGCAGCAGCCACGCUUGCAGCUCGGAGUCAGCUCUCCAGAAAAGGCGGUGAUUUUUCUGCUGCAAACCCAAGCGCCCCGGAGGAACGAGAUCGGGAGAUGUCACAGUGAGGAGGGGACAAGGAGACAGGCAGUGGAGCAGCCAGGAGAUGACCUGGAUGCUGUGAUUUGGGGAGGACACCCUGAAAGACGAAGCCUGUGAUUUCCUCCAGCUCUCCACCAGAGCAAUCCCUGGCCGCUCGGUGGAUUGCCUCGGGGACAAGGGCCUGGUCCUGCCCUUCCCUUCCCCAGAACAACCCCAGUGGGGACACAAAACUCCCCAGGCAGGGCCGCAAGGCUCCGGUGAUGGGUGGCACCAGCCCUGGGCACCGACCUCAUGCAUCCCUCGGGCUCCCUUGGGCGCACACAAAAAAUUCCCUCCUGUGCCCACGGUCAGCCCGGCCUCGCGGAGGCUUUCAGGAGCAGAGGAGGCAGCCACAGCACCCGACCCAACGGCUGUGCCAUCUCCAACCAUCACCUCCCUCGUGCCAGGUCCCCGUGGGGACGGAGCGGAGCUGGUGUCCCCGUUGGUGGCAGGAGCUGCGCGGCCGGGGCCGGGCGCUUUCUGCGCACCGAGGGGUUUUCAUUUGGCCUCCAGGCUGCUCUGGGCGUGCCUCGCUUGCACAACUCGCCCGAGCUGCUGGCUGCUACCAGAACACAGCACCCGGUAAAUAAAUAAGCACUCAUCCUGCACCCCGCUUUCCCCGGUGGCACGGAGAGAGCUCAGAGACUCAGGGGGAUCAGGGCUCCUGGCAGCAAUGGGGCUGGGGGCACACGGAGCCCUAAAAAAACUCCUCGGUGCCAUUCCCGCUGUGGGACGUCCCUUGAAAAUGCCCCAAAUGGGUCAAAAGGCAGAUAUGGAGGCUAUAAGGACGCGGUGUGUGUGGUGGGGCUGUGCCCGAGGAUGCUUGCAGAGCAUGCACCGGACGGGGGGGCUCCUCGGGGGGGAUGCUCGUGGCCGGAGCUGCGCCACGGUGGGUUCAUGGUGCUGAGCCAGGCCAAGUGCUGAGCAGCACAGAAGCAGCGGGGGACCGGGAUUUUUUAAUUUUGUUCUCCCGCAAAACUGCCAGCCCCCGCGGCGGGGGCCUGCGGGCCAACAAAAGGCGCUGGCUCUGCCCCAGCCACCGGUGGGGAGCCUCCCCGGCCAGGAGGCAUUCACGGGGGGGGGGCAGAAUUUUGCCUUCAUCUGCCAGCCAGGAGAGCUACUUGUGGUGGGAAGAGCCCAGCACCGGGUCUGUGCUGAGCCCCGGGCUGCUGCAUCGCCCUGCCAAGGGGCCCCCCGGGCACCCACCCGGGGCGCAGCCUCUCGGCUUCACCAGCGCCGCCGGUGCCGUGCAGGAAAAUAGCUGAGCGCGGGGCCUGGCAGCGCCGUGAUGGCUAACAGAUGUGGGAGCGGGCUGCUACGGUGUGUGAGAAAUCAAGGACCGAGGGAGGAGAAAGCUGCAGAAAUGGAGAGGCACAACCACUUUCAGACCCACUUGGUGCAUCCAGAACCGUGACCCCGCAGCUCCCCCGCUGCAGCCACAGAGGUGCUAACAUCGCUCGCCUGCCGUACCAGGUUACGCAUUCUCCCAGCAGGGCACUGGGCAUGUGUAGCUAAUUAACGCUAACGAGACUCAUGCAGCACCAACCCGGGCAGCAGCACCCGCCUGCGACUGCGAAGCCCCACUGAAAACUCUGCUCUGACUACAAAGUGGUUUUCCCCGGGUGGGGCACGGGUGCCCUGCCCGUCCCAGCAUGGAUAGCGCCCGGGGAGUUUUGCACGGUGCUUAGAAAAUAAAAAUAAUCAGCGAUG